rnacentral:lncRNA from 1 species
UUGAUUGUGAAUUCUGUUUUCAUGUUUUGAUGGAGUUCCAAAUGCGUGGUUAUUUGCUGAGUUAUCGAGGCAACUGGGAGAGUUUUACUCGGUCUGCUGCUAUUAAUUGGAAGGGAAAAUCUCUGCAUACUUUAAUUAAUAAGCUGGUUUUGGCCGCUGUUGUUUUUCAUAUCUGGCAAGAACGUAAUAGGCGUUUGUUUCAAAAGAAAAAGAAGAGAGUUUGGCAGAUUGUUGCAGACAUUACGGAUGAUAUCCGCAAGAAAUUGCAG